rnacentral:piRNA from 1 species
UACAUUCUGAGCAUGAAUGGGUGUGGUGGU